rnacentral:rRNA from 1 species
GCCUACGGGGGGCAGCAGUGAGGAAUAUUGGUCAAUGGGCUUACGCCUGAACCAGCCAAGUCGCGUGAGGGAAGACUGCCCUAUGGGUUGUAAACCUCUUUUGUCAGGGAGCAACGCCGGCUACGUGUAGCCGGACUGAGAGUACCUGAAGAAAAAGCAUCGGCUAACUCCGUGCCAGCAGCCGCGGUAAUACGGAGGAUGCGAGCGUUAUCCGGAUUUAUUGGGUUUAAAGGGUGCGUAGGCGGAAUGCCAAGUCAGCGGUAAAAUCGCGGGGCUCAACCUCGCUCGGCCGUUGAAACUGGCGU